rnacentral:misc_RNA from 1 species
UUAUAGUAUAAUUUUAAUUAUAGACAAGUCAUUGUUUUCCAAAUGUAAAACAGGAUUUUGUUAUUUUAAAAAAAUAGUGGAAAACAACUUAAAAUUGUUUUCUAAAUCUUAAUUAAAUUUUGGAAAACUGAAAAACUAGUUUUUUAGUUCUGCACUUGAAAAACUAGCACAUAUGAACACGAAACUUUGUUUUCUAGUUUUCUUUUAAAAUUUUUCUAGGAAACAAUUUCGGUUUUCCACAAGUGAACAAGCCCUAAGUUAACCGUCUUCACUUCUUAUGACAAUAGCAACAAAAAAAUUAAAAAAAAAGGGCCUUUUUGGGGGGAAAGGGAAAGAAAAAAGCAUCUUAUGUUGCAUGGUGGCUUUGAUUUAGGUACUACCAAAACUUAAAUUUGGACAUGGAUUAACAUUAUUUUAAUUAUAGUUCAUUUGAAAAAGCAAGAGCAGAUAUGUCAUAGUCAAACCAGCUUUAGAGAGAAACCUAUCAACUGGAAGUGUCAUAGUUAAAAAAAAAAAAAAGUUAGAUAUCUAAGUUUCAUCUGCCAAAGCUUCUUCCCACAAAAUGUGUGCGCGCGCGCGUGUGUGUGUGUCAAGGCACAUCCUUCUUUUUCUUUUUUUCUCCAUUUUACAAUAAAAAAAAAAUUCAUGACUAGAAUUUUGUGUAAUGAGAUCUAAGCACGGCACAACGUUUAGUUGGACCGGACUCAUUGCAUGUGGAUCAGCGAUACUUUUGGCAUUGAAAGAAGAGCAACAACAUUGCACAGCAUUUUUUUAAAGCAUCAAAUAAUUAUAAACCAGUCCCUGGCUAGAAAAGGAGUACAUCUUUUCUUCUCAUCAGGACAUAAUAACGAAGCAAAUGUAAUAUGCAAUUUGGAAGGGAUAUACCAUCAUAAUACCACAAAAACCUGGAGAUAAGAGAAGAAAUAAGAAACCUCUAAAAGAAGACAUUUUGUUCUACCGUACAUGCUAUAAUUUUGUUUGCACUGAUUUCAACCUUGAGGACAAGGUUGACUUCAAAUACAAUUAGAGUUUAAGAAACAUUUUAUUCAGAAUCCUAAAAACUGAAUCAAAUUUCAUCUUUGAUGUCUUUUGUACCACUGACUCCAUAACAGGAAGGAUAACAGCUACAGAGAAUCAUAACUUUCAGGCAUAACAACAAUUAAAUUUUGAAAUCAUUUAUAAUAUGUGGCGUGGAAUGUGCAACUGCAAACGUAGUCAAAUAACUGAAUUAGAUCACAAACUUUUUAAGUCAGUUUCACCCAAAUUUUAUAGAUAUAAUAGAUUCAUAAACAACCAAAAAUCCCAAAUCAGUAAAUGGCAAUAAUGAAAAUAAAUCAAUAAUGUCAAAGGCUCGAAACAAGCUCAAAACACCAAAAUUCACUCACACAAACUGAUCAAUAAGCUCAAUAAAUUCAUGCAGCAACAUGAUCGUCAAUUCAAUUAAUAUACAUGCCAAAAAAUCCACUUUUAAACUUGACUAACCCCCAUUUUGGAACAAAUUUUACAAGAAUUCAAUUCAA